AACACAUCAAUCCCCCUCUCACAAGCUGGUCCAGUCUACUUCAUCUGCCCUACUCCAGGUCACUGUGCCAGUGGCAUGAAGGUUACAGUCACUGUUGUGGCAGCUGGCAGCCCUCCUACCACUUCUCCCACAACUCCAUCUCCACCCACCUCCACUCCGUCUCCACCCACCUCCACUCCGUCUCCACCCACCACUCCUGCCAGCAAUAAUGGUUCGUCGCCGCCACCCCCGCCACCUUCCGGAGCAGCAGCUCUUAGCAUGAAUAUGCUUGGGGUUCCACUUGCGCUGGCAACCUUGGUUGCAUUCAUGGGCUAGGGAGGAGGCAGUGCGGUUGAUCUUUU
rnacentral:lncRNA from 1 species